GCAGGUCUCUCAACAGUCUUGUAAACCUGUCUCCAUACAUUCUGCAAUCUCUUCUUCGCCUGUCUCGUGCACUGUUCGUUGCUUUGGGUGGUUGACCCCAGGUAUUUAAAGUCAUCCACCUUAAUCAGUCUACUCCUCUUCUUUCCAGAGCAUGCUUCCACCUCUCCAGGUUCUCUUCCGUCCGCCUUCUGUUCUCACUACAGAUCACUAUGUCUGCAAACAUCAAUCCAUGCAGACUCUUGUUGGCCUAAUCCAUCAACUUGUCUGUCAUUAUUGGAAAUAAGAAGGGACACAUCUUUUUCAGCUACGUGAGAGGAGGUUUUUGCUGACUCCAUCAGCCUCGUGAUCAUCUUAACGCCUACUACAUCUGAGUCAGAAAGCAGCCUUCCCACAUUCAGAUAAAGAAUAAAUAACACUGCAGGAUUGCAGUGGAGAGACGGGACCAGAUUAAACUUGCUGCCCUUGCACUACCCAGACUAUGGAUCUCUCACACACACACGAUAAACUGUACUUUAUUUACUUAAAACAGGCUUUCCUGGAACAGAGCACAAUAAUAAUAUUAGAAAUAAUAGGCCCCGCUUACACCGAGUGAACCACAGGAGUCUGUAUUUUAAGCAGAAUAUUAGUAACGCAUACAGACUAUGAAUACAACUGAAUAGUUGUGAAUGCAUUUUACGCUCGUGCAUUCACAACUAUUAAAACCAGCUCCAUUAAGAAAAACAAGGUAGAUAAGAGAGCGUGACCAGUAUGUGUACACUGUUCUUCAUCAAGUAAACAUUAAAUGCACUACAGAAGAGUUUUCUUUUUGUUUUUUGUCUCUGUCCAUUUUCUCAAUUCUUUCUCAUCUUCUCCCAUAUGGAAAAGAUAUUUAUAAAUCUUAUCAAGUUUGUAUCUGUCUUGUGUGAAACUUGUAUGAAAAGCAGACAAGAGUGAAAACAGACAUAAGAAACCUUGAAAAAUUAUAUAAAUGAAACUUGUAUGUUUUGGAUACUUACUAAUACAAUAUAUGAAAGUAAUGAGAAAGUGGCGUAAAUCAUAUAAACCUUACAUGAUUUGCUAUAUGAAGCAAGCUAAAGCCGAUGCAAGUUUUUCCUAUUUCUUUUCCAUUUGAGCUUAUCAACAAAAAAAUGUAUGAUCGCAACUUUAGCUCAUAUUUCAAACAAUAUUUCUUGUGCUGGUAGAUUUA
ensembl:lncRNA